rnacentral:lncRNA from 1 species
CUCCAAUGGCGGGUGGAUUUCAACAGCGGCGUGGGCGGGCGCAAGGCCUGCCAAUCAACGAGACAAAGACGGAAAGGUCCCGGUUUCCGGCCUUUCUGCGUGCGCAGCUCGGCGGCGCCCACAGAGAGACGAAAGGGUAGAGGUGCCGCUUGCUGAGCGGGGCUGCAUUCGGGGGUCCUGGAGGGACCGAAGCCCACCUGAACUGCACGCCGGGGAAGAGGUGAUUGCUGCUGUAAUUGCUGCCUUUUCCGUUUCAUGCUCCCCACCCACAAAAAAGGACCUCGGGGCGGAGUGUGCAUGGUUCCCUCCUUUGCACUCACAACAACCCUGCGAGCACCAACAGAGGCUGUUGCUGAGCUCAACGGGGGAUAGCAGACCUGCCUGGUUUCCUAGCAAUGAAGCCACCUGUUUUGGAAAGCCGCUUGCCGCUUGCAGGACACACGGACCACCUUCUCCCCUGUGCUGAAUUCUGGGGACUUGUGUCUUUCCUUCUGGUUUCCAGCCGAAAGGCCUGAGCGUGAUUGGCUGACCCCUCGGUCAGCCAGGAAUCUGCCUCCUCCUUCCCUUUCCCCUUUUCUCCAGACCGUUUUUUCCGAUGAUGAAAAGGAGGCCUUAAAAUAAAGGAGCUGAUAGACAAGGCAGCUGCGGAAGAGGAGAGCGAUGGGGGGAGAGGCGAGCAGGAAGAGGCAUUCAGAAUUCAGCGCGGAGGCUGCGCAUGCGUCGGAAGAGGAGCAAAGGAUGUGGGGGAGUGGAGUUGACCCCAUAGUGGAAAACCCAGCACCUGCUCUUGAUCGGAGCCAGGAAGAUGAACAGCAGCCACGGUGGAGAGGAACCAGCCUGGGGAAUGGAGUAGGUCUCCUGCAGCAGAAUGGCACAUGGACAAAUCCUGGUCGAGGCAACUGCUCCACGAUGAACAACCCUGCUAACGUCAGUGUGGACGAACCCGUACAAAAAUUAGCUGAGAGAAAGGAGGGCCAAAGGGAUCUUCCAUUUGAUGGCUUCAAUGAAGUUUUGAUAGGAGAGCCCCCACCUGUGGUGGCCAAGUCGGUGGCACCCCAGACGGAAGAGAGAUUUGAGUUGAGCAGCUUGGAUGGUUGGCUUAGACCCAGAACUCAAGAGGGGAUGAAGUCCCUCAGCAAAGGCACCCAGACAGAAGCCACAUGUACAGACAAUGAAGAUCGACAUUAUUUCCAGCCUAGAAGAGAUCGUGAUACAGUCUACAUGCUGAAGGUGGCUGAAAGUGCUGAGAAGACGAUUCAGCAAGGCUUGAGAGAAUUAUUUGGUGUCCUGAAGAUCCUCGUUAAUGUACCCAUCAUUUUCACAGUAGAGUUGGUCCAUUUUCUCAACAAAUCCAUAUUCCAGGUGUUGGUGGUUGACCUCUUAACUACAAUGGGAGACCAAAUGCUGGAACCCUUCCUCGUUGCUUUGUUCAACAGCAUCCUGCAGCCCCUGCUGAAAUUCCUCCUGAAUGUCCUCUGCAGUAUCCGUAACCUCAGCUACCCUUUAUUGGACAUCCUGAAGGGCAUCUGUUUGCAGGUUGCUCUGGUGCUGCGAGCUUUCCGGUUGGUAGAAAUCAACCACCAUCAAAAUAAGUUGCUUGAUGAAAAGGUCUAGUGGAGAGGAACAACUAUCCAAAGUGGUGAUUGACACGACUGAGGGCAUCUGCAGUCAGUUUCCUUAACUAGCCUCUAGUUCGGCUGAGAACUGGGGAUGCCUUGUGGUUGGUUCCUCUGUUCAGGUCAGUGGUGCUCAAUGUGUUACACUCACCUUCUAGGCUGAAAGCAAAGAGUAAGGUUACCCUAACUUCUGUCAUAGAGCUUCAAUAUGCUGAUGACAGCGUCGUAUGUGCACACUCAGAGGAUGACCUCCAAACCAUCCUAAAUAUCUUUGCAGAAGCUUAUGAAAAGCUUUGCAUAUUGUUCAACAUCCAAAAAACCAAAGUGCUGCCCCAACAAGCACAAAACAACCCCUCUGCAGAGCCACAAAUCCAACUCAACGGUGUAACAUUGGAAAGUGUUGAUCACCUCUCCUACCUGGGCAGUUAUAUUUCCACAAGGGCCGACACGGAUGCCGAAAUCAAGCAUCGUCUGGGCUCUGCGAGUGCAGCUUUCUUCUGAUUGAAGCGCAGAGUGUUUGAGGACCAGAACAUUCAUCUUCAAGGAGAAAGUGUGCAAUUCGUGGGUGCUCUUAAAUUCAGCUUUGUCAUGGCAGGCGCAAGUGUCCUUUGUGGUGUGGAACGCCUUUAAGCCAGCUUAGGUUGGUGUGCCAAAGAGGGCCAGAUUUGAUGAAGUAAACAUGUGUGAGAGCCGACCUUUUUUGUUGUUGAGCUUUUUGCAGGAAUGAAGUUGUUGAACUUUUUUUUAAAGAUUGAAGUUGUUUUUAGGAUUUUACCCCAGGAGAUAAGACUGCUACAGGGGCCGAAUUAGGCCCCCCAAAACGCACUUUGGACAUGCCUGCUCUACACAGUCAAAGACAGUUUCAGUUAUCUACGCCGUGGGUUCCCUUCAGACUGGACUUCUGUAAUACAUGGGGCAGACAGGGAACAGCAUAUAAUGCAAAAUGCUGAGGUGAGAAUGCUAAGUGGGAUUAUGUCUCAAGAACAUAUGAUGCUAGUGCUAAAACAAGCUCCCAGUCUGUCUGGGGUGUUUCCUGUGGUCCGUAUGCCUUUGUGUGGCCACUGACAAGUACUGCCUUCCCUUUUUCUUUUCAUAAGUUUGGAAAGAAUGGUUAAAAGCUUCAGCUGUAGCAGGCUCUGUGGAAAUAGGGAGACACAAGUGUACCUGUAACUUCAGAAGGAUAGUCAAGGCUUUCUUUGGGUUUUAAUCAUUUAUAAUCAUAUAUAUUUUGUGGACCCUUCCAUCAAAUGGGAGGUCAGCAACCUCUUGAAGAAAGACAGUGUUGGAUUCUUCUGAGAUGUUGAUCAUUAAGUGCAUCUGGAACUUUAUCCCUUGGUGAAGCCGUAUUUGCAAAAUAAAUUGCUUUUAAAUAGCUCGGCCAAGAUGCAUAUUUUCCUACUCCCUUGGAAGAAAUCUUUAAAGUUCUCACCCAUGUUCACAAUUUCCCCACACAACUAUGUGACUUGCAAAUGUAUGCAAGAAGUAAGGAAAUCAGCUCAGAGUUGUAUUUAAAAUGCAGAUAUAUUUUAAAGGCUGGUGUCCAAUAAUCUCUUAAGGGCUUUUACAAGGGCAGGAAGGAACACCACGGACAGAAAAAAAUGUCACACACAGGAGGAAUAAGGAUAUACUG